GUAUGCGAUCAUACCAACACUAAAGCACCAGAUCCCAUCAGAACUUCAAAGUUAAGCGUGCUUGGGCGAGAGUAGUACUUAGAUGGGUGACCUCCUGGGAAAUCCUCGUAUUGCAUUCC
rnacentral:rRNA from 1 species